GUGGGGAAUUUUGGACAAUGGGCGCAAGCCUGAUCCAGCAAUGCCGCGUGCAGGAAGAAGGCCUUCGGGUUGUAAACUGCUUUUGUACGGAACGAAAAGGCUCUGGUUAAUACCUGGGGCUCAUGACGGUACCGUAAGAAUAAGCACCGGCUAACUACGUGCCAGCAGCCGCGGUAAUACGUAGGGUGCAAGCGUUAAUCGGAAUUACUGGGCGUAAAGCGUGCGCAGGCGGUUUUGUAAGACAGACGUGAAAUCCCCGGGCUCAACCUGGGAAUGGCGUUUGUGACUGCAAAGCCGGAGUGCGGCAGAGGGGGAUGGAAUUCCGCGUGUAGCAGUGAAAUGCGUAGAUAUGCGGAGGAACACCGAUGGCGAAGGCAAUCCCCUGGGCCUGCACUGACGCUCAUGCACGAAAGCGUGGGGAGCAAACAGGAUUAGAUACCCGAGUAGUCC
rnacentral:rRNA from 1 species